UACGGGGGGAGCAAGCGUUGUUCGGAUUUACUGGGCGUAAAGGGCGCGUAGGCGGCCACUGCAAGUCGGUUGUGAAAUCUCCGGGCUUAACUGGGGAGGGUCACGCGAUACUGAUCGACUCGAAGGCAGGAGAGGGAAGUGGAAUUCCCGGUGUAGUGGUGAAAUGCGUAGAUAUCGGGAGGAACACCAGUGGCGAAGGCGACUUCCUGGCCUGUUCUUGACGCUGAGGCGCGAAAGCUAGGGGAGCAAACGGG
rnacentral:rRNA from 1 species